UCCCUCUCUCUGAGCCAGGAGUUGCCUCCAGAUUCGUCUUCGUUAUAAACUCCUCAAUGGAAAGAACCAUGCAUUCCACAGUGACUGGCCCUUAAAUGGCAGCCAAUAGACAAUGAAAUUCAGCACAAAAAAGAACUACUCGGCAUGAAAAGACACGGAGAAAUCUUAAAUGCAUAUUACUAAGUGAAGGAAGCCAGUCUGGAAAGGCUACAUACUGUAUGAUUCCAACUAUAUGACAUUCUGGAAAAGGCACAACUAUGGAGACCGUAAAAAGAGUUUCUGAGGGUCAAGAAUCUGGGAGUAGCUAAGCUGGGUGGUUCUGGCUCAAGGUCUCUCAUGAGGGUGCAGUCAAGAUGUCCAUGGAACUGCAGUCAUCUGAAGGCUUGACUGGGCCA
rnacentral:lncRNA from 1 species